rnacentral:rRNA from 1 species
GACGAACGCUGGCGGCGUGCUUAACACAUGCAAGUCGAACGGAAAGGCCCUGCUUUUGUGGGGUGCUCGAGUGGCGAACGGGUGAGUAACACGUGAUUAACCUGCCCUUGACUUUGGGAUAACUUCAGGAAACUGGUGCUAAUACCGGAUAGGAGCUCCUGCUGCAUGGUGGGGGUUGGAAAGUUUCGGCGGUUGGGGAUGGACUCGCGGCUUAUCAGCUUGUUGGUGGGGUAGUGGCUUACCAAGGCUUUGACGGGUAGCCGGCCUGAGAGGGUGACCGGCCACAUUGGGACUGAGAUACGGCCCAGACUCCUACGGGAGGCAGCAGUGGGGAAUAUUGCACAAUGGGCGGAAGCCUGAUGCAGCAACGCCGCGUGCGGGAUGACGGCCUUCGGGUUGUAAACCGCUUUCGCCUGGGACGAAGCGUGAGUGACGGUAAUGGGUAAAGAAGCACCGGCUAACUACGUG